UACAGAGGGUGCGAGCGUUGUCCGGAAUCACUGGGCGUAAAGGGCGCGUAGGCGGCUUGAUAAGCGUGCGGUGAAAGCCCGGGGCUCAACCCCCGGGUCGGCCGUGCGAACUGUCGAGCUGGAGCACUGUAGAGGCAGGUGGAAUUCCGGGUGUAGCGGUGGAAUGCGUAGAGAUCCGGAAGAACACCGGUGGCGAAGGCGGCCUGCUGGGCAGUGGCUGACGCUGAGGCGCGACAGCGUGGGGAGGCAAACAGG
rnacentral:rRNA from 1 species